AGGCAGGGACGACCCUGCGGCUCGCUCGAGCUAUCAAUCCGGGGACGGCCCCA
rnacentral:ncRNA from 1 species